UACAGAGGUCUCAAGCGUUGUCCGGAUUUAUUGGGCGUAAAGAGCUCGUAGGCGGCUUGUCGCGUCAACUGUGAAAACCCGUGGCUCAACCAUGUGGUCUGCAGUCGAUACGGGCAGGCUAGAAUUCGGUAGGGGAGACUGGAAUUCCUGGUGUAGCGGUGAAAUGCGCAGAUAUCAGGAGGAACACCGGUGGCGAAGGCGGGUCUCUGGGCCGAUAUUGACGCUGAGGAGCGAAAGCGUGGGGAGCGAACAGG
rnacentral:rRNA from 1 species